rnacentral:rRNA from 1 species
GGUACACGAGCGGCGAACGGGUGAGUAACACGUGAGUAAUCUGCCCUUCACUUCGGGAUAAGCCUCGGAAACGGGGUCUAAUACCGGAUACGACACUCCUUCGCAUGAGGUGGGUGUAGAAAGUUUUUCGGUGGGGGAUGUGCUCGCGGCCUAUCAGCUUGUUGGUGGGGUAAUGGCCUACCAAGGCUUCGACGGGUAGCCGGCCUGAGAGGGUGACCGGCCACACUGGGACUGAGACACGGCCCAGACUCCUACGGGAGGCAGCAGUGGGGAAUAUUGGACAAUGGGCGGAAGCCUGAUCCAGCAACGCCGCGUGAGGGAUGACGGCCUUCGGGUUGUAAACCUCUUUCAGUACCGACGAAGCGAAAGUGACGGUAGGUACAGAAGAAGCACCGGCCAACUACGUGCCAGCAGCCGCGGUAAUACGUAGGGUGCGAGCGUUGUCCGGAAUUAUUGGGCGUAAAGGGCUCGUAGGCGGUUUGUCACGUCGGGAGUGAAAACACUGGGCUUAACUCAGUGCUUGCUUUCGAUACGGGCAGACUAGAGGCAUGCAGGGGAGAACGGAAUUCCUGGUGUAGCGGUGAAAUGCGCAGAUAUCAGGAGGAACACCGGUGGCGAAG